UGAGGAAUAUUGGUCAAUGGGCGCAAGCCUGAACCAGCCAUGCCGCGUGCAGGAAGACGGUCCUAUGGAUUGUAAACUGCUUUUAUUCGGGGAUAAACCUCCUUACGUGUAGGGAGCUGAAGGUACCGAAAGAAUAAGCACCGGCUAACUCCGUGCCAGCAGCCGCGGUAAUACGGAGGGUGCAAGCGUUAUCCGGAAUCAUUGGGUUUAAAGGGUCCGCAGGCGGGAUUGUAAGUCAGUGGUGAAAAGCGGCAGCUCAACUGU
rnacentral:rRNA from 1 species